rnacentral:rRNA from 1 species
GAUGAACGCUGGCGGCGUGCCUAAUACAUGCAAGUCGAGCGAACGGACGAGAAGCUUGCUUCUCUGAUGUUAGCGGCGGACGGGUGAGUAACACGUGGAUAACCUACCUAUAAGACUGGGAUAACUUCGGGAAACCGGAGCUAAUACCGGAUAAUAUUUUGAACCGCAUGGUUCAAAAGUGAAAGACGGUCUUGCUGUCACUUAUAGAUGGAUCCGCGCUGCAUUAGCUAGUUGGUAAGGUAACGGCUUACCAAGGCAACGAUGCAUAGCCGACCGGAGAGGGUGAUCGGCCGCACUGGAACUAGGACACGGUCCAGACUCCGACGUGAGGCAGCAGUAGGGAAUCUACCGCAGUGGGCGAAAGCCUGACGGAGCAACGCCGCGUGAGUGAUGAAGGUCUUCGGAUCGUAAAACUCUGUUAUUAGGGAAGAACAUAUGUGUAAGUAACUGUGCACAUCUUGACGGUACCUAAUCAGAAAGCCACGGCUAACUACGU